UCUGUUCUGACUCUUGCAACUUUCUAUCCAUGUGACUGGACCAGUGAUUGAUCUUUUCUGAGCCUCAGCCUCCCCGUGUCUAACAGGGUGAUGAUGACAGUGGUACUCGCCUCCCAGUCUGGCUGUGAUGACUUACGAAAAGCAUGCAGCACAGUGCCGGGCACACCAGAAAGUAACAAUGGUGCCAGCUGAUUCCUAGGCCUGGAUGCUGAAGCCCCAUGCUGGCUGGGAGGAGGAAGGCGGUGCAGAGGCUACAGGAGAGGGACAGAGAUACAGAGCAUUCCGCCAGGCCGCUUACCUGCCGUGGGAGCUUGGCCAGUUCUUCCCCUCAUGCUUCGGUAGUCUCAUCUGCAGAGAGAGAAUCAAAGUGAUGCCUGCUGCCUACGACAGCUCGGGAAGACUGUGUGGAGCCGAUGGUUCAUGCACGUUAGGGAGUUAGAGCAAUGCCCUGCCCAGAUCGGGGCUCCGCAGGGAUGAGCUCCAUUCACUGCAGCCACACUUUUGGGAUGACUCUUGGCUCUGGAAGGCCCCUCGUGGGGUUGGGGUGCUUGCCUUUUUUAGGAUGGACCCCGUUUCUGCAUGCUCCCUACGCUGGGCUUCUGUGCUGGUCUUCUGUGCCUUUGGAGUGAAUUUCACUUCCUUCCUUAUUUGAGGCCCUCUUGGGUCUGAACACUGGCUACCGAGAUCACAAGACUAAUACAUGCCUCGGGUCACAGCGACAGAGGAUGGCUGGGGGUGGGAGUGGUGAGGACACAUUAUUCAGACAAACAAACUGA
rnacentral:lncRNA from 10 species